GGGUCAGUAGGUUGGUCGUGCCACCGGUACGUACUGGUCUCACCGAUUCCUCCUUCCUGAAGAACCGUAAUGCCAUUAAUUUGGUGUUGCGGGGAAACAGGACUGUUACUUUGAAAAAAUUAGAGUGUUUAAAGCAGGCUAACGCUUGAAUACAUUAGCAUGGAAUAAUGAAAUAGGACGAUCGAUCCUAUUUUGUUGGUUUCUAGGAUUGACGUA
rnacentral:rRNA from 1 species